CGGGCUCUUCGGAAGUCAGUGGCAGACGGGUGAGUAACACGUGGGAACGUGCCCUUCGGUUCGGAAUAACUCAGGGAAACUUGAGCUAAUACCAGAUACGCCCUUUUGGGGAAAGGUUGACUGCCGAAGGAUCGGCCCGCGUCUGAUUAGCUUGUUGGUGGGGUAACGGCCUACCAAGGCGACGAUCAGUAGCUGGUCUGAGAGGAUGAUCAGCCACACUGGGACUGAGACACGGCCCAG
rnacentral:rRNA from 1 species